GGGGAUGUAGCUCAGUUGGGAGAGCGCUUGAAUCGCACUCAAGAGGUCGGGGGUUCGAAUCCCCCCAUCUCCA
rnacentral:tRNA from 1 species